GAGUUUGAUCCUGGCUCAGAACGUACGCUGGCGGCACGCCUAACACAUGCAAGUCGAACGAAGUAGCAAUACUUAGUGGCAGACGGGUGAGUAACAUGUAGGUAUCUACCCUUUGGCCUGGAAUAACACGAGGAAACUUGUGCUAAUACCGGAUAAGUCUUUACGGAGAAAGCUUUAUGCACCAUUGGAUGAGCCUGCACUUGAUUAGUUUGCUGGUGGGGUAAUGGCCUACCAAGACUGUGAUCAAUAGCUGAUUUGAGAGGAUGAUCAGCCACAUUGGGACUGAGACACGGCCCAAACUCCUACGGGAGGCAGCAGUGGGGAAUCUUGCACAAUGGAGGAAACUCUGAUGCAGCGAUGCCGCGUGAGUGAAGAAGGCCCUUGGGUUGUAAAGCUCUUUCGUCGGGGAAGAAAAUGACUGUACCCGAAUAAGAAGGUCCGGCUAACUUCGUGCCAGCAGCCGCGGUAAUACGAAGGGACCUAGCGUAGUUCGGAAUUACUGGGCUUAAAGAGUUCGUAGGUGGUUGAAAAAGUUAGUGGUGAAAUCCCAGAGCUUAACUCUGGAACUGCCAUUAAAACUUUUCAGCUAGAGUAUGAUAGAGGAAAGCAGAAUUUCUAGUGUAGAGGUGAAAUUCGUAGAUAUUAGAAAGAAUACCAAUUGCGAAAGCAGCUUUCUGGAUCAUUACUGACACUGGGGAACGAAAGCAUGGGUAGCGAAGAGGAUUAGAUACCCUCGUAGUCCAUGCCGUAAACGAUGUGUGUUAGACGUUGGAAAUUUAUUUCCAGUGUCGCAGGAAACCGAUAAACACACGCCUGGGGAGUACGACCGCAAGUUAAACUCAAUGAAUUGACGGGACCCGCACAAGUAGUGAGCAUGUGUUUAUCGAGAUACGCGCAGACUACACACUGACAUGUCGUCGCGACUCUAGAGAUAGAGUUUCGUCCGCGGACGAACCAGUGCUGCAUGCUGUCGUCAGCUCUUCUGAAUGUCGUAGUUCCGCACGAGCGCAACCUCACUUUAGUUGCAUCAUUAGUGCACUCUGAGACUGCAAUGAUAACGUGAGUAGUGUAUGACUCAGUCCAGUCUACGUUGCUCACGUCUCAUGAUCCAACGACCAGACUGCAGU
rnacentral:rRNA from 1 species